rnacentral:rRNA from 1 species
GGAGCUCUCCCAUAUGGUCGACCUGCAGGCGGCCGCGAAUUCACUAGUGAUUGUUUGAUCCUGGCUCAGAUUGAACGCUGGCGGCAGGCUUAACACAUGCAAGUCGAACGGUAACAGAGAAUAGCUUGCUAUUCUGCUGACGAGUGGCGGACGGGUGAGUAAUGCUUGGGAAUUUGCCGAAAGGUGGGGGACAACAGUUGGAAACGACUGCUAAUACCGCAUAAUGUCUACGGACCAAAGGUGGCCUCUAUUUAUAUGCUAUCGCCUUUCGAUGAGCCCAAGUGGGAUUAGCUAGUUGGUAAGGUAAUGGCUUACCAAGGCGACGAUCCCUAGCUGGUCUUAGAGGAUGACCAGCCACACUGGAACUGAGACACGGUCCAGACUCCUACGGGAGGCAGCAGUGGGGAAUAUUGCACAAUGGGGGAAACCCUGAUGCAGCCAUGCCGCGUGUGUGAAGAAGGCUUUCGGGUUGUAAAGCACUUUCAGCGAGGAGGAAAGGGUGAUGGCUAAUAUCCAUUAUCUGUGACGUUACUCGCAGAAGAAGCACCGGCUAACUCCGUGCCAGCAGCCGCGGUAAUACGGAGGGUGCAAGCGUUAAUCGGAAUUACUGGGCGUAAAGCGCGCGUAGGUGGUUAAUUAAGUCAGAUGUGAAAGCCCAGGGCUCAACCUUGGAACUGCAUUUGAAACUGGUUGACUAGAGUUUUGUAGAGGGUGGUAGAAUUUCAGGUGUAGCGGUGAAAUGCGUAGAGAUCUGAAGGAAUACCAGUGGCGAAGGCGGCCACCUGGACAAAGACUGACACUGAGGCGCGAAGGCGUGGGGAGCAAACGGGAUUAGAUACCCCGGUAGUCCACGCAGUAAACGAUGUCUAUUAGAAGUUUGUGGCUAUAUGCCGUGGGUUUCAAAGCUAACGCAUUAAAUAGACCGCC